UAUUAGUAAUGGGCGAAAGCCUGAACUAGCAACGCCGCGUGUGCGAAGAAGGCCUUCGGGUUGUAAAGCACUUUUUGAGAGGAUGAGGAAGGACGGUACUCUCAGAAUAAGUCUCGGCUAACUACGUGCCAGCAGCCGCGGUAACACGUAGGAGGCGAACGUUAUCCGGAUUUACUUGGCGUAAAGCGCGUGUAGGUGGUUUGGUAAGUAG
rnacentral:rRNA from 1 species